rnacentral:lncRNA from 13 species
AGCAUCUGUAGGUAUUUUACAGGCAGAGCAGAGAAGGGGACAUUCUGAAUGCCCUUAACCCCUCGAAAACAAAAGCUAAACUACAUAUAUUUUAUAAGGUCUUAAGAGAGGAUAUAUCUCUAAGAAGAGUGGGGAGAUAAUGCCCAUAAUGUACAUUCCCUUGUUCAAAAUCAACUAUGACUGCAUUUUCAAAUGAAGAACACACACAGCAAUUUGCAGGCUACCAACACGAUAUCACCGAAGGCAAAGUUGGACAGAGAAGCUGUAAUAGUACACUCGAGUUUUAAUAAUACCCGUGUUUAA